GGACUAUUUCGUUCCACGUAAAAUUAUGAAGAAAAAUUAUCGGAGGAAAAUAAAUUUUACGCACCUUAGUGUUUGGUUUUGUUCCACAUAAAAUUAUGAAAAAAAAAUCUCGGUAAAAAAAAAAUUUCGGAGAAAAAUAAAUUUUACGCUCGUUAGUGUUUGGUUUGUAAAAAUGAAAAAUAAUUUUUCAUUACGGUUAUUUGGUUAAACGAAAAAAAAAGAAAAAAUAAAUUAAAAAUUAUUAUAUAUAUUUUCUCCUAUUAUAUAAAUAUAUAUUAUAUUUUAUUAAUAUAUAAUAAUUAUCAUAAUAUAUUUAAUUAUUAUAAUUUACAUUUAUAAACAAAAUAUAUUUAAAAUAUAUUAUACAAUAAACAUGUAAUAUAAUAUAUAUAUUUAAUAUUAUAAAUUAAAUUAUUAUAUAUUUAUAAAUAAAAUAUGGUAUAAUAAUAUAUUUAUAUAUAAAAUAAAACUAUGUAUAUAAUCGAAGAAGGAGAGAGAGAGAU
rnacentral:lncRNA from 1 species